UAGAUUUCAUUUAAAUUGGCAUAAUAGGUGGCUAUGGAAUUUCGUAUUUAAGUUUGUAGCCCUGCACAUGUUCCUGUUAUAACAGCUGAUGGGGUUUUUGUUUUUCUUUGAUUACUUACCUACAUGGUUUAUUGAACUGACAUGACUGACAUUUGUAUUCGUUUUUUCAGUGUUUUCGUUGUUUGUUCGUUAUUCCCACUACUUUUUCAAAUUUUAAUUAAAACUAGUUCUCUUCAGAUUUAAAGUACUCGCUAAGGAAUUUUAGGUUAAUGGAAUCAACUAUACCAAUUUGAAUUAAGCCAAAUUACUUUAUCCAGGGCAAAACACCAUUUUUCAGGCUGCAGUACGCGAAGCUUCAUUUUGUACAGAUUUCUUUUUUCCCCUCCGAUCGCAACAACUUUACCAUUGUUUAAAAAUUCAAAAUUUUGUCCUACAUUUUUAAUGACAAAAUCCAAACCCCUUUCGGAUGCAACUUACACGGAAAACAAAUUGUGUUUUAUCUCCGGUGUGAAUAAAACGUCUUUUAAAAUUUCUGGAAGCCACUUAUCAACGAAGUCUGUAUUUUCUACAAAUCAAAUAGUGUAUGUUUUUAGUGUUAAAACUACACCUACAAAGGGAUGAAACAGGAUGUUAAACUUUUUAUCGAAAAAACUCUCUGAAAACUUCUGAAAAAGGGUUCUUUAAAAAUAAAAUUUUAACUAUCUUAACCUCACUUUUUAUAGUGACAAAUUUAGUUCCUUAAUAUGUAAAGCCUUUUUCACAUUUAAAGCGCGGUUUACACAAUCAUGGCCUACUGUUAUGCCAAUUUCAAUGAAAUGGAUUAUACGUUUUCAGAUUCAAAGAUGACUCGAUUACAAAUUAUCUUGAUCGCUCGAUAGAACGCCCAGUCUUCAACUUACCCGUCAUUUUUGUUGAUCAUGGUCAUGUUUAUGGAAAAACUUGCGUGACUCCUAGAGCUCUGUGCAUUCAUAUUGGUGGCCCCUGUAGCUCGACUACUGGAUCCUGGCGUUAAGGCUUCUAAAACACUUUGGGUGCAGUCAACAUGCACUUGAGUUAAUCCUGGGAUCACAAUUCCUUUAUUUGCGUCUUCUCUAAUGUCAAGAACGCACUGUUCUCGACUUUUCUCAGCUAACAAGUCAUAUAGUGCCACUCAAGAAGCGAAAAAUUCGGGAAAAAACGAGAAAAUAGGCUCUCUCACACAAUAAAAAGUUUCAGUGACUGCCCUAGGAAUCACUCCCAUUUCGCCUUCCCCAUUGAAUGUUGUUCUCAUUGUGUGUGUUUUUCCAGAUACAGUCUGGCCGUAUAGUAAUACUGUUACGUUAUAACCGUUAAAAAGAUUCUCAAUCAUGGGUUUAACACAGGUUUCAUAAACAUAGUCUUGGGUCGUAGUUGGAUCAAAAACGUAAUUAUAAGUGAAGGCCUUGUCCGUGUUCUUGAUUUUUACUUGAUUAAUCCUGGGAUAACACUUCAAACACAUUUUUGCAGCCUUUUGAGAUCUCAGAAGGGACGAGUGGUCUUAUUCUUAGAGCAACUUCUUGUACUGACUUGUCUGACAUCAACUAAUAAAUUUAAAAAAGAUGGA